AGCCUGCUACACUCUCUAAAGACCUUUUAAGCUCUUCCAUGAAUGAUUGUAAAACAUGUGACAAUUUAAUAGCAAUGACAUGGUAAUGAAAGUAAUGAAUAAGAUUGACAUGUACUGACAUGAUAUCUUGACAUGUAAUGACACUGACAUCUUGCAUGUAAUGAUGAAUCUGGACAUAUAAUCACGUGGUAUCCUGACAUGAAAUGAUGUGGAAUCUUGAAAUGUAAUCACGUGAUCAGUACCCUGAUGUUCGUUUCAGUGAUGACAGGAGGAGAAAUAUGGCCGUCAACAUCAUUUGGGAAUAUCUACACUGAUGCAUUCUGGGUAUACAACAAUCAUACAAACAAGAGGUUUUGUCAAUGGCAAAUUGAGUGACUGGUCUGUGCUACAGGUAGUGCAGGAGUGUGAAACCCUUUACGAGAACACCUGGUGUCAUCACUGAUUUUUACUGACACAAGACUAAAACAAGAUGCAAGGAUGGUCGAAUGUGUCAAAAUGCUGAUUUUAGAUGUAUCCAGGGUGCAGUUUCUAAUGAUUGCCCAUAAGUCCUCGACUCAAACUUUCAUACUUAUAUUGGAAACACUGAUUCCUGCCACACUUCUGGAUUUGAUAUCUGAGACACACCUCUAACAAAACAUUCAACAGUGACAGAAUUCUGAACAUUUGUGAGAGCACUUUCAAUAAUUUUAGGCUCUGUUACUUAUUAUUGCUCCCACUUAUUUGACCUAUUGUAUUGUCUUUUUGUUUGUAAACCUAAACUUGUGUGUGUAAAUAGAACUUAUAGCUCAUUUACUGCUUUAACAAAUUAUAUCUGUGAAAACUGAUUUCUGGAAUAACUGUUACAAUUUGGA